rnacentral:rRNA from 1 species
GGAAGGCAGCAGGCGCGCAACUUACCCACUCCCGGCUCGGGGAGGUAGUGACGAAAAAUACCUCGUCGGGACUAGUUCUAGUUCCCGUCGGAGGACUGAGGGUGCACCAAACACGCACCCCAAGCCGAUUGGAGGGCAAGACAGGUGCCAGCCGCAGCGGAAACUCCUGCUCCAAUAGCGUAUAUUAAAGUUGUUGCGGUUAAAAAGCUCGUAGUUGAAUCUCUGUCACGUCCGGUCCGACUCGGGUUCCCUCGGGUCCUCCGGGUUCGGUCGGUGGGCAUAAGCGGCGUUUCGGUCGGGCGAGAUUGUCAGAGGUUUCGUCCGCCGUCUCCUCGCACGUUACUCUGUAUUAAAUGAUGGUGCUCAGAGCGAUUAUCACAGUGCUUAAUGACGGUGCAUGGAAUAACCGAACAGGACCUCGUUCCCGUUCGAUUGGUCUGGCAGUCGAGGUAAUGAUUAAGAGGAGCAGACGGGGGCAUUCGUAGUGCGUCGCUAGGGGUGAAAUCCGGUGACCGUCGCACGACGAACUACUGCGAAAGCAUUUGCCAAGAAUGUUUCCUUUAACCAAGAACGAAAGUCAGAGGAUCGAAGGCGAUCAGAUACCGCCCUAGUUCUGACCCUAAACCAUGUCGACCAGCGGUCACCUUGCUUGAGUAUUGCGUAGCAGGUGGAAGCUUGCUCGGGAAACCUGAGUGUUCGGGUUCC